rnacentral:rRNA from 1 species
UACAGAGGAUGCAAGCGUUAUCCGGAAUGAUUGGGCGUAAAGCGUCUGUAGGUGGCUUUUUAAGUCCGCCGUCAAAUCCCAGGGCUCAACUCUGGACAGGCGGUGGAAACUACCAAGCUGGAGUACGGUAGGGGCAGAGGGAAUUUCCGGUGGAGCGGUGAAAUGCGCAGAUAUCAGGAGGAACACCAAUGGCGAAGGCAGAUCUCUGGGCCGUAACUGACGCUGAGGAGCGAAAGCAUGGGGAGCGAACAGG